AUUGAACGCUGGCGGCAGGCCUAACACAUGCAAGUCGAACGAGUGGCGGACGGGUGAGUAAUGUCUGGGAAACUGCCUGAUGGAGGGGGAUAACUACUGGAAACGGUAGCUUAUACCGCAUACCAUCGGAUGUGCCCAGAUGGGAUUAGCUAGUAGGUGGGGUAAAGGCGCACCUAGGCGACGAUCCCUAGCUGGUCUGAGAGGAUGACCAGCCUCACUGGAACUGAGACACGGGCCAGACUCAUACGUGAGUCAGCAGUGGGGGAUAUUGCACAAUGGGCGCAAGCCUGAUGCAGCCGAGCCGCGUGUAUGAAGAAGGCCUUGGGGUUGUAAAGUACUUUAAGCGGAGAGGCGUUACCCGCAGAAGAAGCGCCGGCUAACUCCGUGCCAGCAGCCGCGGUAAUAC
rnacentral:rRNA from 1 species